rnacentral:snRNA from 1 species
AUGCCAACGUAGACAUGGCAGACGUGGGUCAAAGUGUAGUAUCUGUUCUUACCAGCUUAAUACCUGAUAGAGGUUCUAUUUGAAAGUAAGAUAUGAAACUUACUUUUUCCAAAUUGGCGUAGUGGUCAAAUCCUGUUUGACCUCCGCUGUGCGUCGGCCCGGUACUGCAGUACCUUCUGGAUUGUCCUAUGACUG